AUGACAACAGUGGAUCUCAACAAUCUUGCGUAUGCAGAUGAACCAUUCGUCCUAGCCAAUGAUGUGGCACAGGUUUUCUAUGUGAAGGACAUGUCUACUAAGCCGAGAAAAAGAAAAGAUAAGGAAGCGAAUGCAUCAAACGAUGAGCCAAAGCGCCAUAUAGUUCUUUCUGGGAAGAGAAACAUCAUGGGAGUGGAUGACAAGACAGACAUGUCAGAAGAUUAUGAAAAGUUUUAUGCAAUUUCUCCAUUCAUAGUGAAUAUUGACCCGAGCAUCCAGUUAAAUGAUGAAGAUUUUCCAUGGUUACGACGCAAAGGGACACACGCGAAGAAAAAGUUUCACACCCAAAGAUCUGGGAUGUGA
rnacentral:rRNA from 1 species